GAUGAACGCUGGCGGCGUGCUUAACACAUGCAAGUCGAACGGUGAAGCAGGAGCUUGCUCUUGUGGAUCAGUGGCGAACGGGUGAGUAACACGUGAGCAACCUGCACCUGACUCUGGAAUAAGCGCUGGAAACGGCGUCUAAUACUGGAUAUGUGAUGUGACCGCAUGGUCUGCAUCUGGAAAGAAUUUCGGUUGGGGAUGGGCUCGCGGCCUAUCAGCUUGUUGGUGAGGUAAUGGCUCACCAAGGCGUCGACGGGUAGCCGGCCUGAGAGGGUGACCGGCCACACUGGAACUGAGACACGGCCCAGACCCCUACGGGAGGCAGCAGCGGGGAAUAUUGCACAAUGGGCGGAAGCCUGAUGCAGCAACGCCGCGUGAGGGAUGACGGCCUUCGGGUUGUAAACCUCUUUUAGCAGGGAAGAAGCGAAAGUGACGGUACCUGCAGAAAAAGCACCGGCUAACUACGUGCCAGCCGCCGCAGUAA
rnacentral:rRNA from 1 species